GUCGUUGCACGUCAAUGGUCGUUGUUUCCACCUAGCCGCAAAUGGAAGAAGUGUUCUGUUGUGUCUCGGGCUCCUUCAAGCGCAAGGUUAAACGGUUUGAAUUUCACAAAAUAAACCAUCGCCAAACGUUAUAAACGGGGCUGUAAAUCAUCUUGGAAGAUAAGAUCUCAGGGGACCCGGCUGUCUUCACUUCACACAUGUGCUGCUAGGACCUCAGAGUGUGUUUAAGUAUCAGUGCACGUGCAUGAACUGAAUCCCAAGUCGUCCAUU